CCUACGGGAGGCAGCAGUGGGGAAUCUUGCGCAAUGGCCGAGAGGCUGACGCAGCGACGCCGCGUGGGGGAUGAAGCAUUUCGGUGUGUAAACCCCUGUUGCUCGGGACGAACGACCCUUUUCGAGGGGUGUGACGGUACCGAGUGAGGAAGCACCGGCUAACUCCGUGCCAGCAGCCGCGGUAAUACGGAGGGUGCAAGCGUUGUCCGGAAUCACUGGGCGUAAAGGGCGCGUAGGUGGUUGGAUGCGCCGGUGGUGAAAGCGCAGGGCUCAACCCUGCGUCGGCCAUCGGGACGGUCCGACUGGAGCACUGUAGAGGCAGGUGGGAUUCCGGGUGUAGCGGUGGAAUGCGUAGAGAUCCGGAAGAACACCGGUGGCGAAGGCGGCCUGCUGGGCAGUUGCUGACACUGAGGCGCGACAGCGUGGGGAGCAAACAGGAUUAGAUACCCUGGUAGUCCACGCCGUAAACGAUGGGCACUAGGUGCUUGGGGGAGCGACCCCCUGAGUGCCGACGCUAACGCAUUAAGUGCCCCGCCUGGGGAGUACGACCGCAAGGUUGAAACGUCAAAUGAAUUGACGG
rnacentral:rRNA from 1 species